GGCAUUUUGAGCAAGACAUAAACUGGGAUGAUGGGAUUUGGUUACAAUUUGGGCUGGAAAACUGGGAUUAGAACAACCCUCGUAUAAGGAGAACAGAUUUUGGGUGUUUCUGUAACAAUACAGCAUUUUGAGAAAAAAUUUAUUGAAUUCAAAAGCCAUAUAAUUAACAAAAUAAUAAACGAAAUCAUGGGUGUGGUCCUCACAAACAUUGGGGCUGGUCUCCAAUCUAUAUUUGGGGGUGGUCUCCAACCCACAUUUGGGGUGUUCUCCAACCCACAUUGCAGGUGGUCCUCCACCCACAUUGGACGUGGUGUGCCACCCACAUUGCGUGUGGUCCUCUAGCUCUCGCAACUAGUGCAAAAUGGAUGUUCAAGGCCUAAUUGAAUAUUUACUUUACCAAUUAAAGUACAGCACUACAUUUUCUCUUAGGUUAUAGGGUUAAAAACAUAUUUUCUUGAAAUUUUUCAAAGUUCAGCAGAGGGCAUUAGGACAAGCCAAAAAUCAGAGGUAGAUAGUCAACAAAUCAACAGCCAAGAAAAUUUAACUUCGAGUGGCAUCGUGAAGUCAACAAAUCUUUGACGACUCUGUCGACCAGCCAACCAACAGUCAACUAAGUGAUGCAACAACGAUAACCUUGACUAAUCCAAGCCAAAGAGUCGAGGUGAACAGUUUAAUAAGAACCUGCAAGUAUAAAUUCCAAAACUGUUGCAGAGAAAGAGUGCCAGACUUCAGAU